GCUGGGCGUGGUGGUGCAUGCCUGUAAUCCCAGCUACUUGGGAGGCUGAGGCAGAAGAAUUGCUUGAACCCGGGAAGCAGAGGUUGCAGUGAGCCGAGAUUGCGCCACUGCACUCCAGCCUGGGUGACAGAGUGAGACUCUGUCUCAA
rnacentral:SRP_RNA from 1 species